AUUGAACGCUGGCGGCAGGCUUAACACAUGCAAGUCGAGCGGAGAUGAGGUGCUUGCACCUUAUCUUAGCGGCGGACGGGUGAGUAAUGCUUAGGAAUCUGCCUAUUAGUGGGGGACAACAUUCCGAAAGGAAUGCUAAUACCGCAUACGCCCUACGGGGGAAAGCAGGGGAUCUUCGGACCUUGCGCUAAUAGAUGAGCCUAAGUCGGAUUAGCUAGUUGGUGGGGUAAAGGCCUACCAAGGCGACGAUCUGUAGCGGGUCUGAGAGGAUGAUCCGCCACACUGGGACUGAGACACGGCCCAGACUCCUACGGGAGGCAGCAGUGGGGAAUAUUGGACAAUGGGCGGAAGCCUGAUCCAGCCAUGCCGCGUGUGUGAAGAAGGCCUUUUGGUUGUAAAGCACUUUAAGCGAGGAGGAGGCUACCUGGAUUAAUACUCUAGGAUAGUGGACGUUACUCGCAGAAUAAGCACCGGCUAACUCAGUGCCAGCCGCCGCAGUAAAAC
rnacentral:rRNA from 1 species